rnacentral:rRNA from 1 species
AGAGCGAACGCUGGCGGCAGGCCUAACACAUGCAAGUCGAGCGCCCGUAGCAAUACGGGAGCGGCAGACGGGAUAGUAACACGUGGGAACGCGCCCUUCGGUUCGGAAUAACUCAGGGAAACUUGAGCUAAUACCGAAUACGCCCUUACGGGGAAAGAUUUAUUGCCGAAGGAACGGCCCGCGUCCGAUUAGCUAGUUGGUGAGGUAAUGGCUCACCAAGGCUACGAUCGGUAGCUGGUCUGAGAGGAUGACCAGCAUCACUGGGACUGAGACACGGCCCAGACUCCUACGGGAGGCAGCAGUGGGGAAUAUGGACAAUGGGCGCAAGCCUGAUCCAGCCAUGCCGCGUGGAUGAUGAAGGCCUUAGGGUUGUAAAGUCCUUUUAACGGGAAGAUAAUGACGGUACCGUAGAAUAAGCCCGGCUAACUUCGCGCCAGCAGCCGC